rnacentral:rRNA from 1 species
AUUGAACGCUGGCGGCAGGCUUAACACAUGCAAGUCGAGCGGGGGAAGGUAGCUUGCUACCGGACCUAGCGGCGGACGGGUGAGUAAUGCUUAGGAAUCUGCCUAUUAGUGGGGGACAACAUCUCGAAAGGGAUGCUAAUACCGCAUACGUCCUACGGGAGAAAGCAGGGGAUCUUCGGACCUUGCGCUAAUAGAUGAGCCUAAGUCGGAUGUAGCUAGUUGGUGGGGUAAAGGCCUACCAAGGCGACGAUCUGUAGCGGGUCUGAGAGGCUGAUCCGCCAACCUGAGACUGAGAAACGGCCCAGACUCCGACGGGAGGCAGCAGUGGGGAAUAUUGGACAAUGGGGGGAAGCCUGAUCCAGCCAUGCCGCGUGUGUGAAGAAGGCCUUAUGGUUGUAAAGCACUUUAAGCGAGGAGGAGGCUACUCUAGUUAAUACCUAGGGAUAGUGGACGUUACUCGCAGAAUAAGCACCGGCUAACUCUGUGCCAGCCGCCGCCGUAA